UACGGGGGGGGCAAGCGUUUGUUCGGAAUUACUGGGCGUAAAGCGUGCGCAGGCGGUUUUGUAAGACAGGCGUGAAAUCCCCCGGGCUCAACCUGGGAAUUGCGCUUGUGACUGCAAGGCUAGAGUGCGUCAGAGGGGGGGUAGAAUUCCACGUGUAGCAGUGAAAUGCGUAGAGAUGUGGAGGAAUACCGAUGGCGAAGGCAGCCCCCCUGGGACGUGACUGACGCUCAUGCACGAAAGCGUGGGGAGCAAACAGG
rnacentral:rRNA from 1 species